rnacentral:lncRNA from 1 species
AACUUCAACCAACAAUUGGUUCCAUCAACCCUAGAUAAGUGUUUAGCUACUUAUAACAAAAUAAUAGAAAACUACUAAAUUGUUCAUAAUGAAAUUGCAAGAAUUAAAAGGAGAUAGAAAAACUCUAAUGUUUGGUUGAUCUUCUCACUCUUGUUCUUGCCUCCAAAAGUAGUCUAAAAUCAGCUUCGCACAAUCUUGGGCGAGUUUCUAAAGCAUAUAAGGAGUUUACAAAAGUUUUCCCGAUUUUACACUUUGGUCCUCACACUUUCCAGCAGCGUGAAGAGGGCACUGCGGUCGCGGCCAACUGCGGUCGACCGCGGUGAAUGCUGACCUUUCUGCCUUACGUUGUUAAUCUACCGCGGUCACGGUGACCUUCUUUCCCAGGCCAUCUAUGCUUCUUUGUGUUCGGGUACUUCUCGAGCGGGCAUUUUUCUUCACAUUAUCGCCUCCAAAAAACUCCAUGUUGCUUCCUCUCAUAUAAUAUUCCCUGCUAAACAAAAGAACACUAUUUAAAGUAUUUUGUUGGAAAUUUAUCUAUAAAACAACAACAAAGUUUGGUCAUAUUAAGGUGUAAAUAUCAACUAUAUAUCCUACUAUCACCUACGUAUCACGACCACACAUGAAUCAGAUCUUUGCGUAGUUCUGGAAGAUCGGGAAUAAAGUUAACAAACCAACGUUUUCUUUUUUUUCUUUUUUUUAUGACAAUCUGAUGAGAAAAGAGAAAUAAAAGAAGCAAACCCUUUUUUUGAAUUUUCUAGACUUAAUGUUCUAUAACCUAUUCUAAACGCAAGCUUAACGAGCCUAUAUUUUCUUUUUUCUUUCUUUUUGAAACAAAUACUCUACGGGAACUAUUAAGGAAAAACUCUAGAAGAGAAAAACAUUUUAUUUUUUUUUAGGAAGGAAAUCUAAAGAAUAAACCACAGAAAAAUAUUUUGAAUUUUCAUUUGAUAUCCCUGAAAAAUGAUUUCGAAGCGAGAAAUUAACAAAAUAAAAGAUAUUUUUAGAUUUCAGUUUUUGAUUACCUAAAGAAAAAACUUUAAAGAUAAACAAAAGAUAAAGUAUGCUUCUUUUCUAUGUACAAUAUCCUAAAGUUCUAGUGAAAAUAAGAAAACAUUUUUUUUUACAUUUUUCAUUAAUUUCCCAAAGAAUAAUCUCAAAAGAAAAUCUUUUUGAAUUUUUUGAAUUGAUAUAUUAAAGAAAACUUUUUAAAGAGAUACUAAAAUAAAAUUCUCUUUUUUUUUGGAUUUUUAGUCUUAAUGUACCAAAAGGAAGUAUAAAAGCAAUUUUUGUUCUGAGUUCUAAAUAUUAACUUUCUAAGGGAAACCACCUCAAAAGAAAUAUUUUUUUUUUAAUUCUAGAAUUAGUAUUCCAAAGAAAACUUCUAAAGGAAAUAUAAAAACACAAAAUUUCUUCUUUUUUUUCGCUUUUUUGACUUGUAACACAUUUCCAAAUACAAAAUAAGAAAUACAAUAACAAAAGACUCGGCAAACUUAACUAGACUAUGACAAACUCUAACAUUACCUAAAAGACUGGAUACUACUAUACAAGACUAGAAAGUAAAACAUGAACAGUUGACUCAAAAACAUAAAAUGGAUCCUCGAGCAGCUCCUGAAUGCAGUGAUCCUGAGGUAUCUGUCAUGCUCAAACUCCGGUAAGUAGAUCCACAUCUGUAUGAAAAACUUUUAACCAACACUAUGUGAGAUAAUAACACUCCCUAUUAACAUAUGCAAGACAUAUUUGAGGCUAUUUUUGCAAAAUGACUAUGUGGCCAAAAGUGGCUAAAAAUGCAAAAUUUGGCUAAGACCCCGCAAAGCCAAGAACCUAAGAUUUACUAGGAAGACUGGACCCUAUGUGAGUUAUCUACGUAUCACGCCUCGAUCGACGAGAAUCAGGUAUCGUAGUUCGGGCAGAUUGGAUACGGGCGAGAAAUAAAAAUAACAACUAAUUCAGAGAAAAAACAUUUUUUAUCUUUUGUUUUGAAAAAUGAUGAAACAUGUAAACUCCUUUUGGAUUUUCUUAUUUUUCCCCUUUUUUUGAUUUUCUGAUUUUCGGAAAAUGAUGAAAAAGUGCAAAAUCUUUUUUUUUUUUGAAAUUUCAAGCUCUUUUUUCUUUUCUUAACAACAAUGUGAUAGAAAACAUAAUUGGGUCCUCCUCGCUUUAUCCUCACACUUCACCUCUUUUUUUCUUUUUCAUUUGCCCCCAAUUAUCAUUGGUCUGCCAAAUGACCCUUUUACCCUUGAAGAAAUGCAAUAUGUAGCACAUAUGAUACAUCAGGAUGGUCUUUUCUAAUCGGGUGCACCUGUCAUAGAUGGACCCAACCCCUGUGUUGAGUCCCCAUUGUCAAAAAUGCACAUGAUACAAGCAAGCGCUCCUACUAGGGAUCCGGCAUGAGGCUAUGUUAUACUAGGUUUGAAAACCUGGGUUUAUUGUUCUAGACCUGGCUUACCCGGGCAGACAGCUCGAGCCGAGGCGGGCAGCGUACCGGGAAUACAGAAGCUUCACCGGCUUUGCAACUUGUCCGAACCUCGUUCUAACAUUGGAUAAGACUCUAGACAGAAGAGAAGUCACAUGAAGUGCACCCUUCUCAAAUGAUUUAGAAGACUCGGAGAGAAGAAGGGUUUCGUAGCAGUUUAUAUACAGUUCACAGAAUAUCAAAGCGAUAAAAGCAACACUUAGCAAAUUAGGCCCAAACAUGGAACAAAAUCAGAUAAUAAAUAAAGCCAAAUAUAACAAUUCAUCUAAGCUCGAAUUCUGAACCAAAGUUCUGGGUUCGAUCCCCAGCAGAGUCGCUAGAGCUAUCACACCUCCUUUUUCACUACCCCCGGAAGGGUAUAAGGGAGUUUUUUCAAUUUAAGUGACAAUUGAAACGGGAUCAUUUUAUUAAAAAUUCAGAGUCGCCACUUGGGAUAAUUUAUGGUAUCUCAAGUCACCGGUUUAAAAUCCCAAAUCGAGGAAAAGAUUGACUCUAUUUUACAGUCCGCAAACACAGAAAUUCAGGUAAGGAACUUUGUUAACCCGAGAGAAGGUGUUAGGCAUUCCCGGGUUUUGUGGUUCUAGCACGGUCGCUCAACUGUUAUAAUUGGCCUAUUAUCUGAUUUUAAUACAUGUUUUAACCUAUGGUACAAUUUUUAACUUAUUAACCGCUUUUAAUUAUUUUAGGAAAAGAUUCAACAUUAUUUAAAACACGCCUUGAACCACGCCACAUGAAAUGCACACGCAAUCCACGACACAUUUUAUUUAACGUUGUUGAGAAUUGGAGUUGAGUCACAUGAAAUGCGCACCCGAGUUUAAGGAAAUUAAUUUAAAUGGUGCGCCUAAAGUAAGCCACGGUGUUCAUAAUUAUUCAUUUUUUCUAAAUUUAAGUAGGAAAAUGAAUUAAACUAAUAUUACCAGAUAUGAUCAAGAAAACUGGAAAAGAAAACAAUUAAAGAACGCUAACAAAUUACAAAUGUUUCUCUAUUUUUGGGUUAGCCAAAGAUAUGCAGCAAUCCAUAUUGUUCUUUUCCUCUUCUUCCUUUGCAUUGGAGGUAAUUCAAUAAUCAAACAAUUAUAGUUAGUUAACAAAAAAAAUGAUAAAAGACUACAAUUCAAUGUAGUACGUCUAAUUACAUCAAUUUGAAAGAGAUUUGACAUUAACUACUGUUCAAACCAACGAGCUUUUCCUGCCAUCUAAACCUCAUUAUUUUUUCAUAUAACUCUUACACAUUAUUACCAAUUGGAAAUAACCACAAACUAUUCUUGUUCAUCAACACACUGAUCACGGGCAGAAUUACAGAGCUAAAUUAGUACAUAAAAUUGUGAUAAAAGCAAAAUUCCAUAAUUAACUGUUUCAAUUAACCCAAAGAGAAAUUCGUGCAUACUGAAUAUUUGAACAAUCCAAAAAAAAAAAUAGAUUUGCAAUUCACUUUGAAAAAUAUUUUUAAACAUACCAGUGAACAAACAACUACAAGCUUCAUGGCAUUGCUAGCUCAAACAGGUUUACGAUUCGGGUCCCAAAUGUUAUGGCAGUAUCUAAAUCCAAUUUUAUAUUCAAAUAGACAAGAUAUGUAAAUCAAUAAUUGUAAUCACUUGUUCAACAGAUAAGAACAUGUAGUUUCUGAAAUCCUUUCUCAUAAAAAACAACAAGUGGUCCAAAUCAAAUUACAAAGUCGAAAUCAAGAAAAUGUACCUUGCUCCAAUAGAAUAAAAGAGAAACAAUGAUAAGAAAUGAAUAUGGAUCUCGGCAAUGCAGUGAACUAGCAGCACACAGUAGUUUCUUCGAUUCAAAAGUUUUUACCCAGGAAAUGUGCAGCAAACCCGUUAAACUUGAAAACAACUAUCGGCUCUUCUUCUCUUUCUUUCUUUUUUUUUGAACUUUUCUUUAGUUUUAAAGAUUUUUGAUUUUCAGAUCUUCAUUUGAGUUUUUGUUUUAGCUUUGUUUCAGCCAUUUUUGCAUUUCGCGUGUGUCAAUCAUGAGUGAAAGGUGAGUGAAGGAAAGAAGAAAAGAAGGGGAAAGUGUUGGUUUUUUAGAGAAAUCAAGCUGAAGAAGAUGACCUGGGGCGCCGUUUCUCUAUAUUUCUAAGGGGUAAGGGAUCUAAUCAUCUUGUAUUGGUUGUGAGAUGAAGAAGCAGCAGCGUUGGUUUUGGGUAUUGAAGAAAAAUGGGGAUCUCCUUCUCUGUGGCGCUGCCUUUUGUCUGGGAUCUUUUUUAGGUCUCCCCAAAUCUGAUUUCUUUUGUGUCUUAACUCCCCUUUUAUG